rnacentral:rRNA from 1 species
UACAGAGGGUGCAAGCGUUAAUCGGAAUUACUGGGCGUAAAGCGUGCGUAGGUGGUUUGUUAAGUCAGGUGUGAAAUCCCCGGGCUCAACCUGGGAACUGCAUUUGAUACUGGCGAACUAGAGUGUGGUAGAGGGUGGUGGAAUUCCCGGUGUAGCGGUGAAAUGCGUAGAUAUCGGGAGGAACAUCAGUGGCGAAGGCGGCCACCUGGACCAACACUGACACUGAGGCACGAAAGCGUGGGUAGCAAACAGGAUUAGAAACCCCCGUAGUCC